AGCAGAGUGGUCUAGUGGAUAGGGCACAGACCUUGGGAAUCAGAAGGACCUGGGUUCUAAUCCCAGCUUGUCUG
rnacentral:tRNA from 1 species